rnacentral:lncRNA from 1 species
GCGGGGUGGGGACCGGGCGGCAGGGGCAGGCCGAACGUGCUCGUGUCGCCCACAGGUGGCAAGAAGAAGCCACUGAAACAGCCCAAGAAGCAGGCCAAGGAGAUGGACGAGGAAGAUAAGGCUUUCAAGCAGAAACAAAAAGAGGAGCAGAAGAAACUCGAGGAGCUAAAAGCGAAGGCCGCGGGGAAGGGGCCCUUGGCCACAGGUGGAAUUAAGAAAUCUGGCAAAAAGUAAGCUGUUCCUUGUGCCUGAGGAGAUGGUGACCCUUUAUUUCAUCUGUAUUUAAACCUCUCUAUUCCCUGCCAUAACAUCUUUUGCCACGUAUAGCUGGAAUUAAGUGUUGUCUUGGAGCUGUUGUACAUUUAAGAAUAAACUUUUGUAAAAAAAAAAAAAAAAAAUCUUACAGUGGCUCAUCAUCUCUUUAGUUGUUUUCACUAAGUCAUUCCUACCAUAACUGUGAAUUUAAAGUAAAACCAGCUCAGAAUCUUGCCAGAGUCUGUUCUUUGGUCCUUGUUCUACCCUAAACUUUGUAUCACCUGAAAUUAAACCAACUCAUUUGAAAGGAUG